AAGAGAAGCACCUGAUCGAAGCCCCAGUAAACGGCGGCCGUAACUAUAACGGUCCUAAGGUAGCGAAAUUCCUUGUCGGGUAAGUUCCGACCUGCACGAAUGGCAUAAUGAUGGCCAGGCUGUCUCCACCCGAGACUCAGUGAAAUUGAAAUCGCCGUGAAGAUGCGGUGUACCCGCGGCUAGACGGAAAGACCCCGUGAACCUUUACUAUAGCUUGACACUGAACAUUGAAUUUUGAUGUGUAGGAUAGGUGGGAGACUUAGAAGUAGUCACGCCAGUGAUUAUGGAGUCGACCUUGAAAUACCACCCUUUAACGUUUGAUGUUCUAACGAAGAUGACGAAACGUGGUCUCGGACAGUGUCUGGUGGGUAGUUUGACUGGGGCGGUCUCCUCCCAAAGCGUAACGGAGGAGCACGAAGGUUUGCUAAUCACGGUCGGACAUCGUGAGGUUAGUGCAAUGGUAUAAGCAAGCUUAACUGCGAGACAGACAAGUCGAGCAGGUACGAAAGUAGGUCAUAGUGAUCCGGUGGUUCUGAAUGGAAGGGCCAUCGCUCAACGGAUAAAAGGUACUCCGGGGAUAACAGGCUGAUACCGCCCAAGAGUUCAUAUCGACGGCGGUGUUUGGCACCUCGAUGUCGGCUCAUCACAUCCUGGGGCUGAAGUAGGUCCCAAGGGUAUGGCUGUUCGCCAUUUAAAGUGGUACGCGAGCUGGGUUUAGAACGUCGUGAGACAGUUCGGUCCCUAUCUGCCGUGGGCGU
rnacentral:rRNA from 1 species